rnacentral:rRNA from 1 species
AGUGAACGCUGGCGGUAGGCCUAACACAUGCAAGUCGAACGGCAGCACAGUAAGAGCUUGCUCUUACGGGUGGCGAGUGGCGGACGGGUGAGGAAUACAUCGGAAUCUACUUUUUCGUGGGGGAUAACGUAGGGAAACUUACGCUAAUACCGCAUACGACCUACGGGUGAAAGCAGGGGAUCUUCGGACCUUGCGCGAUUGAAUGAGCCGAUGUCAGAUUAGCUAGUUGGCGGGGUAAAGGCCCACCAAGGCGACGAUCCGUAGCUGGUCUGAGAGGAUGAUCAGCCACACUGGAACUGGGACAAGGUCCAGACUACUAAGGGAGGCAGCAGUGGGGAAUAUUGGACAAUGGGCGCAAGCCUGCUCCAGCCAUACCGCGUGGGUGAAGAAGGCCUUCGGGUUGUAAAGCCCUUUUGUUGGGAAAGAAAAGCAGCAGGUUAAUACCCCGCUGUUCUGACGGUACCCAAAGAAUAAGCACCGGCUAACUUCGUG